UACGUAGGGCGCAAGCGUUGUCCGGAAUUAUUGGGCGUAAAGAGCUCGUAGGCGGCUUGUCACGUCUGCUGUGAAAACUCGGGGCUCAACCCCGAGCCUGCAGUGGAUACGGGCUAGCUAGAGUGCGGUAGGGGAGACUGGAAUUCCUGGUGUAGCGGUGGAAUGCGCAGAUAUCAGGAGGAACACCGGUGGCGAAGGCGGGUCUCUGGGCCGUUACUGACGCUGAGGAGCGAAAGCGUGGGGAGCGAACAGG
rnacentral:rRNA from 1 species